CUACAGGCUUAACACAUGCAAGUCGAGGGGCAUCAGGAAGAAAGCUUGCUUUCUUUGCUGGCGACCGGCGCACGGGUGAGUAACACGUAUCCAACCUGCCCUUUACUCGGGGAUAGCCUUUCGAAAGAAAGAUUAAUACCCGAUGGCAUAAUGAUUCCGCAUGGUUUCAUUAUUAAAGGAUUCCGGUAAAGGAUGGGGAUGCGUUCCAUUAGGUUGUUGGUGAGGUAACGGCUCACCAAGCCUUCGAUGGAUAGGGGUUCUGAGAGGAAGGUCCCCCACAUUGGAACUGAGACACGGUCCAAACUCCUACGGGAGGCAGCAGUGAGGAAUAUUGGUCAAUGGGCGCUAGCCUGAACCAGCCAAGUAGCGUGAAGGAUGAAGGCUCUAUGGGUCGUAAACUUCUUUUAUAUAAGAAUAAAGUGCAGUAUGUAUACUGUUUUGUAUGUAUUAUAUGAAUAAGGAUCGGCUAACUCCGUGCCAGCAGCCGCGGUAAUACGGAGGAUCCGAGCGUUAUCCGGAUUUAUUGGGUUUAAAGGGAGCGUAGGUGGACUGGUAAGUCAGUUGUGAAAGUUUGCGGCUCAACCGUAAAAUUGCAGUUGAUACUGUCAGUCUUGAGUACAGUAGAGGUGGGCGGAAUUCGUGGUGUAGCGGUGAAAUGCUUAGAUAUCACGAAGAACUCCGAUUGCGAAGGCAGCUCACUGGACUGCAACUGACACUGAUGCUCGAAAGUGUGGGUAUCAAACAGGAUUAGAUACCCUGGUAGUCCACACAGUAAACGAUGAAUACUCGCUGUUUGCGAUAUACAGUAAGCGGCCAAGCGAAAGCAUUAAGUAUUCCACCUGGGGAGUACGCCGGCAACGGUGAAACUCAAAGGAAUUGACGGGGGCCCGCACAAGCGGAGGAACAUGUGGUUUAAUUCGAUGAUACGCGAGGAACCUUACCCGGGCUUAAAUUGCAGUGGAAUGAUGUGGAAACAUGUCAGUGAGCAAUCACCGCUGUGAAGGUGCUGCAUGGUUGUCGUCAGCUCGUGCCGUGAGGUGUCGGCUUAAGCGCCAUAACGAGCGCAACCCUUAUCUUUAGUUACUAACAGGUUAUGCUGAGGACUCUAGAGAGACUGCCGUCGUAAGAUGUGAGGAAGGUGGGGAUGACGUCAAAUCAGCACGGCCCUUACGUCCGGGGCUACACACGUGUUACAAUGGGGGGUACAGAAGGCAGCUAGCGGGUGACCGUAUGCUAAUCCCAAAAGCCUCUCUCAGUUCGGAUCGAAGUCUGCAACCCGACUUCGUGAAGCUGGAUUCGCUAGUAAUCGCGCAUCAGCCACGGCGCGGUGAAUACGUUCCCGGGCCUUGUACACACCGCCCGUCAAGCCAUGGGAGCCGGGGGUACCUGAAGUACGUAACCGCAAGGAUCGUCCUAGGGUAAAACUGGUGACUGGGG
rnacentral:rRNA from 1 species